rnacentral:lncRNA from 1 species
AAACCAGGUCUCAAGAGGUUGGAGGAGCACUGCCUGUUGUUGUCUGAGUAUCCUGCCAUCACGCCUGUCUGUUGGUCUUGGGAGAAGGAGGCUGCAUAUUUCGCUCCACAUUCUUCCUACAUCAUACCAUUGGGUUUAUGCAAACGAGCCUUGUCACUGCAGAAGUGUUGGCCCCAGUGGAACAAGCUAGUGAUGGUCAGGGCUGAGGAGAGAAGCACAAGAAACCGUUUCUGCAGCAGAAGCUUUGGCUCGAGCUCAUACUUUGAGCAGUACGGUCUGUUGAGAAGCAGAUUGCCUGUGGUGGGCAACCGGUGAGUUUUAGAUGCUGGAGCAGAGAACCUGUGGGCUGUCAGCUCCAUUGCCUCCUCUACUGGUUCAUCGCUGAGCUCAGAGCCUGGUGCCAGCCAAACUUCAUCUUCAGGACCCCAGGCCUCCCACAGUGAGUGUUGGGCUCCUGGACUCCUCAUAUGACUUUAAGAGGGGGCUCUGCAGGGGAGUUGCUGGCUGUGAUGAAUCAGUAGGAAGCAGUCUUCAGCUACUCCGAAGCCUCAGGGUCUCACGGGUAGGAUAUGGGAGAGGCUAGUUGGACCUAAGAGUGGCACC